CAGUAGCCGCGGUAAUACGAGGGGGGCAAGCGUUGUUCGGAAUUAUUGGGCGUAAAGGGCGCGUAGGCGGUUUGACAAGUCUGAUGUGAAAUCCCCGGGCUCAACCUGGGAAUGGCAAUGGAUACUGGCAAGCUAGAGUGUGUCAGAGGAUGGUGGAAUUCCCGGUGUAGCGGUGAAAUGCGUAGAGAUGUGGAGGAACACCAGUGGCGAAGGCGACUCUCUGGUCUGUAACUGACGCUGAGGAGCGAAAGCGUGGGGAGCGAACAGGAUUAGAUACCCCGGUAGUCCCUGUCUCUUAUAC
rnacentral:rRNA from 1 species